CUGCUCCUGCACGACCUUCUGCCUUUGACACCGCGUCACCUGGUGGUGUCCCUCCCCCAGGAGCUGCUCUCACUGGUGGCAUCACUUCAGAACCAUGAUGCUGCCUGUGAUCCUAAUCGCACUGAUAAAAGCAAGUGAAUGUGCCCUACUGGACAGCAGUCACUAGGCUAAGGGGUGAGUGCAGGCUGCUGCCCAAGAGCCUCUGUGUCCCUUAACCCCUUUUAUGGGCUCACUCAGGAAGCAGCAAGCAUCCCUAGCCUCAGCCCAGGGCCUUCCACAGAUGGCGCUGAAGAGCCAGGUCCCAGGGUCUGCAGCAGCAGGAGACUGGCUCCUGUCCCACCUGUGGCAAGGUGAGGAGAUGCAGGGCGAGAUGGCCCUGGACCAGCUGUGCGGGAGCUGCAGGAGACCCAGUGAUGGAGCGGUCCAGGCCCCUGCAGGGGAGGACCUGGCCUCCUCUGUGCCUUCUCAUGUUCUCAUCCUACCCAUCACAGCACCCGGAAGCCACCAAGCAGCAGAAGUAGCAGCCAUCCCAGCUGAGCCUCCGCGCUCUGCCUUGGCAAGAACAUGA
rnacentral:lncRNA from 1 species